UUAGUACUCCCUUCGGCCGGAAAUACUUGUCCUAGAGAUGAAUGUAUCUAGACUUAUUUUAAUUAUAGAUACAUUCAUUAUAUAAUUUUAGAUAUUUCCGGACGGAGGGAGUACUAG
rnacentral:pre_miRNA from 1 species